GAGGGUGUAGCUCAGUGGUAGAGCAUUUGCUUAGCAUGCAUGAGGUCCUGGGUUCAAUCCCCAGUACCUCCA
rnacentral:tRNA from 1 species